CAAAAUACUAAAUAUAUGGACACGCUCUUGUUCUUAUUCUCGGUGAAUCAGAGGUCAAUAAACAAAAAAUUGGUCUUGUUCCUACCAUCUUAUUCUCGGCGAGCGAAUCAUCCCUUUCUCCUCUCUUCGAUUUUAAGCUGCUUACAAUUUUCUCAAGAUGCCAGCUACAGCAGGCAGGGUUCGAAUGCCCGCAAACAACAGGGUACACAGUAGUGCUGCCCUGCAAACACACGGUAUUUGGCAGAGUGCUAUAGGGUAUGACCCCUAUGCACCAAAUAAAGAAGAUAACAAAAAGUCUUCUCAGCCUAAAGCUUCUGAUGCUGCUGCUGAACCUGCGGGUGAAAAUGCUUAUGCAAGCUUCCAGGGUUUGCUUGCACUUGCCCGUGUAACUAGCAAUAAUGUAGAUGAGUCUCGUGGAGCAUGUAAGAAGUGUGGACGUGUGGGUCAUCUUACAUUUCAGUGUAGAAAUUUCUUGAGUAUCAAGGAUGAAAGUAAUGAUAAAGACUCUGAGGCAAUUCAGGCGGCAGUUAUUUCUGGACUGGAGAAAAUAAAAGGCAGCGGCAGAAAGUUAUUUGGUAAAAGUGGGGUAGAAGAUUCCAAUGAGGAUUCUGACGAUGAGAGCGAGAGUUCAGAUUCUGACUAUGAUUCUGAAAUAGAGAGGGCAAUUGCUCAGAGCAAAAAGUUUGGGAAGAAGAUUGUUGAUAAAGUGAAGUCUUCUAGAAAGAAAAAUGAUGAUUCUGAUGAUGACGAAUCUGAUUAUGAAAGGAGAAAGAAUAAGGUUGGAUCAAAGAGGAGCAGCAGUAAAAGAAUUUACAGUGAUUCUGAUGAAGAUGAUAAGGAUAAUCGGAAGAGGAGAGAAAAGAGGAGGAGAGAUGAAUCGUCUGAUGUCGAUGAUGAUAACCAACGACAACAUAGAAAGAGUAAGAAGGAAAAGAGGAGGAGGAGAAGGCGAAGUCACACGUCUGAUGAGGAUGAUGAUAAUCAACAACAACGUAGAAAGAGUAAGAAGGAAAAGUGGAGAAGGCGAAGUCGCAAGCAUUCAGAUGAUUCAGAUGGAUCUGAGGAACACACUAGAAUGUGUAAGCGGAAGAGCAGGAGAGAAAGAUCGGUUUCUAGUCCUGACAUUAGCAGCUCAGAUGAUUCUGAUUUAGGAGGUAGAAUCGUCAAAAAACAAUCUGGGAAGAGGAGCAGGAAGCACAGCCACAAACGAGAUUAGUUAUUCUCUAUGGAUUUUCUACUUUGUUGGAGCUGGACUAUUCUGUCUGGAAUCUUUUCUCAGAAUUGGGUUAUUCAGUCUUCAUUGUUUACAGACAUGGAAUCAAAUACUGAUACUAUCGUGGACGUGGAAAGAGGCGCAGGGAGAAUCAAAAGGAAGAGGUCUGAACUAGAAGAUGAGAAAUUGGUCGAGUCUCUUUAGAACUUGUGAACAAUGGAGCAUACAAAGCUGACAAUGGUUUCAAGCCAGGAUAUCUUGGAUUUUUGGAAAUUUCAUUGAGCGUCAAACUACCAACUUCAGGCCGGGAUAUCAAGCCGGGAUAUCUUUUUUUUUUUUUUUUUGUCUUAGUUAUGCACUUAUGAAUAUUUCAGAAUUUUAUUUUGUACUUAUUUUGAUGAAGUUCAAUUUAAAAUUUGUAUAUAUUGCCUUUA